rnacentral:rRNA from 1 species
AACAAUUCCUUUUUUUUUUUUUUUUGGGGGGUUUUUUUAGAUUUUUUGGAACUGCUCAGGACGAACGCUGGCGGCGUGCUUAACACAUGCAAGUCGAACGAUGAACCGCUUUCGGGCGGGGAUUAGUGGCGAACGGGUGAGUAACACGUGGGCAAUCUGCCCUGCACUCUGGGACAAGCCCUGGAAACGGGGUCUAAUACCGGAUAUGACUAUCUAUCGCAUGGUGGAUGGUGUAAAGCUCCGGCGGUGCAGGAUGAGCCCGCGGCCUAUCAGCUUGUUGGUGAGGUAGUGGCUCACCAAGGCGACGACGGGUAGCCGGCCUGAGAGGGCGACCGGCCACACUGGGACUGAGACACGGCCCAGACUCCUACGGGAGGCAGCAGUGGGGAAUAUUGCACAAUGGGCGAAAGCCUGAUGCAGCGACGCCGCGUGAGGGAUGACGGCCUUCGGGUUGUAAACCUCUUUCAGCAGGGAAGAAGCGAAAGUGACGGUACCUGCAGAAGAAGCGCCGGCUAACUACGUGCCAGCAGCCGCGGUAAUACGUAGGGCGCAAGCGUUGUCCGGAAUUAUUGGGCGUAAAGAGCUCGUAGGCGGCUUGUCACGUCGGUUGUGAAAGCCCGGGGCUUAACCCCGGGUCUGCAGUCGAUACGGGCAGGCUAGAGUUCGGUAGGGGAGAUCGGAAUUCCUGGUGUAGCGGUGAAAUGCGCAGAUAUCAGGAGGAACACCGGUGGCGAAGGCGGAUCUCUGGGCCGAUACUGACGCUGAGGAGCGAAAGCGUGGGGAGCGAACAGGAUUAGAUACCCUGGUAGUCCACGCCGUAAACGGUGGGCACUAGGUGUGGGCAACAUUCCACGUUGUCCGUGCCGCAGCUAACGCAUUAAGUGCCCCGCCUGGAGACGCCGACCGU